rnacentral:rRNA from 1 species
UACGGAGGAUGCGAGCGUUAUCCGGAUUUAUUGGGUUUAAAGGGAGCGCAGACGGGAGAUUAAGUCAGUUGUGAAAGUUUGCGGCUCAACCGUAAAAUUGCAGUUGAUACUGGUUUCCUUGAGUGCAGUUGAGGCAGGCGGAAUUCGUGGUGUAGCGGUGAAAUGCUUAGAUAUCACGAAGAACCCCGAUUGCGAAGGCAGCUUGCUAAACUGUAACUGACGUUCAUGUUCGAAAGUGUGGGUAUCAAACAGG